CUGUAUUUAAACAGGCUCCGCCCUAAGUCACAUCUUUUGGCCAAACCAGGAAGAAGGACUGAUGCAGCAGACAAGGAGAGAGCAGAGAUGCUCCUGUCCCUGCUCCCUGAUCAGCUCCCGGAACUGGUUCAUGCUGUCUGACAAGCUGUGGUGCAAGCGGAACAUCAUCCAGAACUCCUGGAUCCAGUGUCUGGAGGUCAGAGAUGAUAUGUGAAUGAUAGAAACACACAGAGAGGGACAGACUCUGACAAUGUGUCAUUGUGUUAGACUGACCUGAUGAGGUAACAUAUCCUCUGACACUCUGUUGCCUGCUCAUUGUCCAUCGCUGUUUUGAAUGUAAGGACUUUGGUAAAGGAAUAAUAUAAACAGAUCAUUCUGA